rnacentral:tmRNA from 1 species
UUGGACCCGGGGGCGGUACCCGGCGCCUCCACGAAAGUUUAUCUAAUAUGGAUAGAUUUUUAUGGGGGCGAAAUUAGGAUCGACAAAGGCGUAAAGAUUGCUCUUUUACCCGGCAUUGCACCACCGUUAUCGGGCUCAAUAAAUAGUUGCAAACGACAACUAUGCAGAAGUACGUCUCGCUGCUUGAUAUAGCGCGAAUACUUCAAUUUAACUCUUAAACCAUUGCGGGUUUAAGCGGGGUUCGAAGG